AUACGGAGGAUGCAAGCGUUAUCCGGAUUUAUUGGGUUUAAAGGGUGCGUAGGCGGUUUGCUAAGCGGGAGGUGAAAUGCCGGCGCUCAACGUCGGAAGUGCCUCCCGAACUGGUGGACUUGAAUGACUCUGCCGUGGGAGGAAUGUGUAGUGUAGCGGUGAAAUGCUUAGAGAUUACACAGAACACCGAUUGCGAAGGCAUCUCACGAAGGGUUGAUUGACGCUGAGGCACGAAAGCGUGGGGAUCAAACAGGAUUAGAUACCCUGGUAGUCCACGCAGUAAACGAUGAUGGCUAACCGCUGGAUCCAUCGGUUCAGUGGCCAAGCGAAAGCGAUAAGCCAUCCACCUGGGGAGUAUGACCGCAAGGUUGAAACUCAAAGGAAUUGACGGGG
rnacentral:rRNA from 1 species